UAGGGAAUCUUCGGCAAUGGGGGGAACCCUGACCGAGCAACGCCGCGUGAGUGAAGAAGGUUUUCGGAUCGUAAAGCUCUGUUGUUAAGGAAGAACGAGUGUGAGAAUGGAAAGUUCAUACUGUGACGGUACUUAACCAGAAAGGGACGGCUAACUACGUGCCAGCAGCCGCGGUAAUACGUAGGUCCCGAGCGUUGUCCGGAUUUAUUGGGCGUAAAGCGAGCGCAGGCGGUUAGAUAAGUCUGAUGUGAAAGCCCCCGGCUCAACCGGGGAGGGUCAGUGGAAACUGGUUGACUUGAGUGCAGAAGAGGAGAGUGGAAUUCCAUGUGUAGCGGUGAAAUGCGUAGAUAUAUGGAGGAACACCAGUGGCGAAGGCGACUCUCUGGUCUGUAACUGACGCUGAGGCUCGAAAGCGUGGGUAGCAAACAGG
rnacentral:rRNA from 1 species